UUAUAUGCAUUAAAAAAUCCUCAGGGAGCUAAGGGAACCAGGUUUACUAAAGUAAUAGUGGUGAUCGAAUGUACUAGCCUCAGAAGCUCUUGAGGUGCCCUUUCUGUCCUCACACAGUG
rnacentral:snoRNA from 1 species